rnacentral:rRNA from 1 species
GAUGAACGCUAGCGAUAGGCUUAACACAUGCAAGUCGAGGGGCAGCAUGAACAAAGCUUGCUUUGUUUGAUGGCGACCGGCGCACGGGUGCGUAACACGUAUGCAACUUACCUAUAAAUCGGGGAUAACCCGGAGAAAUUCGGACUAAUACCCGAUGGUAUUAAGUGAAGGCAUCUUCACUUAAUUAAAGAUUUAUCGAUUAUGGAUAGGCAUGCGCAUGAUUAGCUAGUUGGUGGGGUAACGGCUCACCAAGGCGACGAUCAUUAGGGGUUCUGAGAGGAAGGUCCCCCACACUGGUACUGAGACACGGACCAG